rnacentral:lncRNA from 1 species
AUUAACAUACUAAAACAUCUACACAUUAAUACAUCGACAUACUGACAAAUCAACCCAUUAACAGAUUCAAACAUCAACGCAUUAACACACUGGUAUAUCAAUACAUUAACACUCAUACAUCGACACAUAAACAUAUUGACACACUGACAUAUUUACUAAAAUUUCAGACUCAUACAUACACCUUGACAUAUUGGCACACUAACAGAUCAACAAAUUAACAGACUCGUAUAUCAUCAUGUAGACAUAUCAAC